rnacentral:lncRNA from 1 species
CUUGAACACUCUCGUGAUGUUGCCUCUAGGAACCCAGCCAGCAUGCUUGUGAGAAGCAUGCCUGAGUCCUAGAGAGUCAAUAGUCUCUGAUGAAUGCCACCCAACAGUCAAUAUCAACUGAAAGCCAUCUGCGUGAGCCAUCUCAGUCCAGUCAAGCUAUCAACAUGACUGCAGCAGCACUGGAGACUGCAAGAAAGAAUUGCCCAGCUUAGGCCAGUCAACACACAGGAUUACAAAAGUGUCUUUUCAGAGUGAUUAAGAGGGAGGAAAAGAUUUCAAAGGAGUGUAUUUUCCAGAAAUAAUUGAGUAUUAUUAGAGCGACAGUUGAAUAUGUCAACCUAAACUCUCUAGCUAUGGGUCCGGGAAAAAAUGCAACCAAUCAAUCUUCUCACCAGUCUUGCCAUCCAGA